rnacentral:rRNA from 1 species
GAUGAACGCUGGCGGCGUGCCUAAUACAUGCAAGUCGAGCGAACAGAUGAGGAGCUUGCUCCUCUGACGUUAGCGGCGGACGGGUGAGUAACACGUGGAUAACCUACCUAUAAGACUGGGAUAACUUCGGGAAACCGGAGCUAAUACCGGAUAAUAUAUUGAACCGCAUGGUUCAAUAGUGAAAGACGGUUUUGCUGUCACUUAUAGAUGGAUCCGCGCCGCAUUAGCUAGUUGUUAAGGUAACGGCUUACCAAGGCAACGAUGCGUAGCCGACCUGAGAGGGUGAACGGCCACACUGGAACUGAGACACGGUCCAGACUCCUACGGGAGGCAGCAGUAGGGAAUCUUCCGCAAUGGGCGAAAGCCUGACGGAGCAACGCCGCGUGAGUGAUGAAGGUCUUCGGAUCGUAAAGCUCUGUUAUUAGGGAAGAACAAAUGUGUAAGUAACUAUGCACGUCUUGACGGUACCUAGUCAGAAAGCCACGGCUAACUACGUG